rnacentral:tRNA from 1 species
UGUAGGGUGGCCGAGAAGUUAGGCGGAAGAUUGUAGGUCUUUUUACGGAACGGAGGUUCUCCCUGUGA